GGGGGUGGAAUAAGUGUCAAAUGGUGGGAAAUCAUAUUGGGCUGAAUG
rnacentral:tRNA from 1 species